UACGUAGGGGGCGAGCGUUGUCCGGAAUUAUUGGGCGUAAAGAGCUCGUAGGCGGCUUAGUAAGUCGGCGGUGAAAUACCGAGGCUCAACCUCGGCACUGCCGUCGAUACUGCUAUGGCUAGAGUUUGGUAGAGGAGAACGGAAUUCCCGGUGUAGCGGUGGAAUGCGCAGAUAUCGGGAGGAACACCCGUAGCGAAGGCGGUUCUCCGGGCCAAUACUGACGCUGAGGCGCGAAAGCUAGGGGAGCAAACGGG
rnacentral:rRNA from 1 species